ensembl:lncRNA
GAAUCCUUUCUCCUGUAGGGCAAAAAGCGGGAAAAAGUGCGCUUCCUUUUGCGGUUGCCGCUCAUCCUUUAUUUGCGAGCAUUCUCCAGAAUCCGUGUCAGGCAGAGCAAGCUCCAGGCGCCCAGGUGGGCAGGCCACCUGGCUGGGAUGAGGACCCUGAUGCAGUUGAAGCACACACAUGGCCUGGAACAUCGGGUGACUCCCUGCCACCACCCUGCAGCCUUUCUAAAACCCUGGCAGCAGAAGAACGAACAGCCGUGUGGCUUGUCGACCACCUUCUGGAAACUGAGACGGGCUGUCUCCGGGCUGUGCCCGGAGUUUGGAUCCACCCUUUGUCAUGAGGUCUGCAGCAAGGCUUUCAGUGGCUCCAGCCAGCUCCCCGAGGAGCCAGCAGAUGCCACCAGUCCUUUGUUCAGCCUCACACACAGCCCCGCAGCAAGUCUGGUUUGCAGGUAACAGCUUGGAAAGAUGACGUUAAGAACAAAGAAGAACAUUUGGAGGGGCGAAGAGCAUUUUCGCCCACAUCUCGCCACCCCCAUCCUCACCUUCCUUUUUGCUCUCUCUGUUCUGACUGGGAACCCAGGCAGCUAUGUUGGCAUGCUUGCCAAAAG